rnacentral:rRNA from 1 species
CCUACGGGUGGCUGCAGUGGGGAAUAUUGCACAAUGGGCGCAAGCCUGAUGCAGCCAUGCCGCGUGUGUGAAGAAGGCCUUCGGGUUGUAAAGCACUUUCAGCGGGGAGGAAGGCGUUAAGGUUAAUAACCUUGUCGAUUGACGUUACCCGCAGAAGAAGCACCGGCUAACUCCGUGCCAGCAGCCGCGGUAAUACGGAGGGUGCAAGCGUUAAUCGGAAUUACUGGGCGUAAAGCGCACGCAGGCGGUCUGUCAAGUCGGAUGUGAAAUCCCCGGGCUCAACCUGGGCACUGCAUUCGAAACUGGCAGGCUAGAGUCUUGUAGAGGGGGGUAGAAUUCCAGGUGUAGCGGUGAAAUGCGUAGAGAUCUGGAGGAAUACCGGUGGCGAAGGCGGCCCCCUGGACAAAGACUGACGCUCAGGUGCGAAAGCGUGGGGAGCAAACAGGAUUAGAUACCCGGGUAGUC